GACGAACGCUGGCGGCGUGCUUAACACAUGCAAGUCGAACGCUGAAGCUCAGCUUUUGUUGGGUGGAUGAGUGGCGAACGGGUGAGUAACACGUGAGUAACCUGCCCCCUUCUUUGGGAUAACGCCCGGAAACGGGUGCUAAUACUGGAUAUUCACUGGUCUUCGCAUGGGGGUUGGUGGAAAGGGUUUUUCUGGUGGGGGAUGGGCUCGCGGCCUAUCAGCUUGUUGGUGGGGUGAUGGCCUACCAAGGCUUUGACGGGUAGCCGGCCUGAGAGGGUGACCGGUCACAUUGGGACUGAGAUACGGCCCAGACUCCUACGGGAGGCAGCAGUGGGGAAUAUUGCACAAUGGGCGAAAGCCUGAUGCAGCGACGCCGCGUGAGGGAUGGAGGCCUUCGGGUUGUGAACCUCUUUCGCUAAUGGUCAAGCCGCAACAAUGGUUGUGGUGAGGGUAGUGGGUAAAGAAGCGCCGGCUAACUACGUG
rnacentral:rRNA from 1 species